rnacentral:tRNA from 1 species
GGAGAAGUGGCCGAGUGGUUUAAGGCGCACGCCUGGAAAGUGUGUUUACUGAAAGGUAACGGGGUUCGAAUCCCUCCUUCUCCGCCA